rnacentral:rRNA from 1 species
GUUGUAUGGUUAAGUGACUAAGCGUACAUGGUGGAUGCCUUGGCAGUCAGAGGCGAUGAAGGACGUACUAACCUGCGAUAAGCUGUGAGAAGUCGGUAAGAGACGCUAUUACUCACAGAUUUCCGAAUGGGGAAACCCACCCGAGAUAACUCGGGUAUCUGUUACUGAAUACAUAGGUAACAGAGGCGAACCGGGAGAACUGAAACAUCUAAGUACCCCGAGGAAAAGAAAUCAACCGAGAUUCCCUCAGUAGCGGCGAGCGAACGGGGAUUAGCCCUUAAGCAUCUUGGAAGUUAGUGGAACGGUCCUGGAAAGGCCGGCGAUACAGGGUGAUAGCCCCGUACACGAAAACAACCUUGAUGUGAAAUCGAGUAGGGCGGGACACGUGACAUCCUGUCUGAAUAUGGGGGGACCAUCCUCCAAGGCUAAAUACUCCUGACUGACCGAUAGUGAACCAGUACCGUGAGGGAAAGGCGAAAAGAACCCCUGUGAGGGGAGUGAAAUAGAACCUGAAACCGUGUACGUACAAGCAGUGGGAGCCCUUCGGGGUGACUGCGUACCUUUUGUAUAAUGGGUCAGCGACUUACAUUUUGUAGCGAGGUUAACCGUAUAGGGGAGCCGUAGGGAAACCGAGUCUUAACUGGGCGUCUAGUUGCAAGGUGUAGACCCGAAACCGGGUGAUCUAGCCAUGGGCAGGUUGAAGGUUGAGUAACAUCAACUGGAGGACCGAACCCACUAACGUUGCAAAGUUAGGGGAUGACCUGUGGCUGGGGGUGAAAGGCCAAUCAAACUCGGAGAUAGCUGGUUCUCCCCGAAAGCUAUUUAGGUAGCGCCUCGGACGAAUACUACUGGGGGUAGAGCACUGUUUGGGCUAGGGGGUCAUCCCGACUUACCAACCCCAUGCAAACUCCGAAUACCAGUAAGUACUAUCCGGGAGACACACGGCGGGUGCUAACGUCCGUCGUGAAGAGGGAAACAACCCAGACCGCCGGCUAAGGUCCCAAAGUUCUGGUUAAGUGGGAAACGAUGUGGGAAGGCUCAGACAGCUAGGAUGUUGGCUUAGAAGCAGCCAUCAUUUAAAGAAAGCGUAAUAGCUCACUAGUCGAGUCGGCCUGCGCGGAAGAUGUAACGGGGCUCAAACCAGGCACCGAAGCCGCGGAUUUGCACUUAGUGCAAGUGGUAGGGG